UACUAUUACAACAUCACUCUGAAUAUGCCCAAUCUCAUUUGAUCUUAAAAUAUAAGCAGGGCUGAUUCUGGUUAGUAUUUGGAU
ensembl:rRNA predicted gene, 22076